GAUGCAGCCCGCCGCGUGAGUGGAUGACGGCCCUAGGGUUGUAAACAUCUUUCAACAGGGAAGAUACUGACGGUACCUGUAGAAGAAGGUCCGGCUAACUCCGUGCCAGCAGCCGCGGUGAUACGGAGGGAGCUAGCGUUGUUCGAAUUACUGGGCGUAAAGACGCUGCGUAGCGGAUUAUUAAGUCAGAUGUGAAAUCUCGGGGCUCAACCCCGGAACUGCCUUUGAUACUGGUAGUCUUAGGUCGGAGAGGUGAGUGGAAUUCCCAGUGGUGAGGUGAAAUUGCUAGAUUUUCGGAGGAACCCCCGUGGGCAAGGGGGCUCCUUGGGUCCAUACUGACCCUUAAGUGCCAAAGUGUGGGUAGCAAAACGGAUUAAAUUCCCUGGGAGUCCCCCCCGUAAACCAUGAAGGCUAGUCUUCGGGGGACUUGUCCUUUGGUGACCCCCCUAACUCAUUAAUUAUUCCCCCCGGGGAGUACGGUCGCAAGAUUAAAACUCAAAGGAAUUGACGGACGG
rnacentral:rRNA from 1 species